GGUAGGAUGGCUGAGUUUAGGCAAUAAAUUGUAAAUUUAUUUACGAAAAAUUUUUUCUUCUACCA
rnacentral:tRNA from 1 species